rnacentral:rRNA from 1 species
GAGUUUGAUCGUGGCUCAGGAUGAACGCUGGCGGCGUGCCUAAUACAUGCAAGUCGAGCGAACGGACGAGAAGCUUGCUUCUCUGAUGUUAGCGGCGGACGGGUGAGUAACACGUGGGUAACCUACCUAUAAGACUGGGAUAACUCCGGGAAACCGGGGCUAAUACCGGAUAACACAUGAAACCGCAUGGUUUCAUGAUGAAAGACGGUCUUGCUGUCACUUAUAGAUGGAUCCGCGCUGCAUUAGCUAGUUGGUAAGGUAACGGCUUACCAAGGCAACGAUGCAUAGCGACCUGAGAGGGUGAUCAGCCACACUGGAACUGAGACACGGUCCAGACUCCUACGGGAGGCAGCAGUAGGGAAUCUUCGCAAUGGGCGAAAGCCUGACGGAGCAACGCCGCGUGAGUGAUGAAGGUCUUCGGAUCGUAAAACUCUGUUAUUAGGAGAACAUAUGUGUAAGUAACUGUGCACAUCUUGACGGUACCUAAUCAGAAAGCCACGGCU